GAGGAAAUAGUAACUUUGUAGAGUUUUGUUAAGUAGUUUUUAGAUAGGUAAUAAUUGUGUGUUUGCGAGGACGCUGCAUAGAUAGGAAUAAGGCUAUGUAGAAUAGAUAUUAAUUUGUUUCUGUAAGAUAUUGAUAAAAUAGACUAAUAGUCAGUAGAAUAGUCAAUUCAAGAGGACGGAUGGUUAAUUUAGUUAUUAAAAGUAGUUAAUUAUAGGAUUACGAUUAGAAUCUCAGAAUAAAGAGAAAGGAUAUAGGAGUUGUAGAAUUUAGUCUGAGUGCCAGACUGUGAUAGUCAUGAGUUGGGAUAAGCUUGGUGCUACCUGUUUGUUUCUUUAUUUCUUUGUUUCUUUGUUGUUGAAAAAUAAUGGAUAGUUUCUGAAUACUAAGUAGUGAGUGUGUAGAAUAAAUCAGAGAUUGAUUUAUGAGUUAUUGAUUAUGUAAUUAAAACACUGAGUUAUUGAAUUAUAUGAGGAAUUAUUGGAAGAUUAUGAUUAUUGUUUAUUGAGAGUAGUGUGAAUUUUGAUAGAUGAAGUCUGUGAUUACAGAAAUUAUGUGAAUUCAAAUUGAUUGGAAUGAAGUCUGUUAUUUCUGAUGUUAGAUGAAAUUAUUGUGUUUUGAGCAGUCUUUUGAAAGUACUGGGUUAUAUACUGUUGUUAUCAAUUGAUGAAGGAAUAUUUUUACUGGGAGAAAGUAUUGUAGUAUUUUUUGGUGUUUUAGUGGUUUGAAAUAUAAUUAAUUGUAUGAUCCAAACAAGUAAAACUCAUGCAAUUAGUCUUUCCUCGUGUUCAAAUC
rnacentral:lncRNA from 1 species